rnacentral:tRNA from 1 species
GGUUGUAGCUUAGUGGUAAAGCACUUGCUUAGCAUGUAUGAGGCACUGGGUUUGAUCCUCAGCAUCA